rnacentral:tRNA from 1 species
GCAGUCGUGGCCGAGUGGUUAAGGCGUUGGACUAGAAAUCCAUUGGAAUCUCUCCGGACAGGUUGGAAUCCUGUCGACUGCG